rnacentral:rRNA from 1 species
GAUGAACGCUGGCGGCGUGCCUAAUACAUGCCAGUCGAGCGAACAGAUGAGGAGCUUGCUCCUCUGACGUUAGCGGCGGACGGGUGAGUAACACGUGGAUAACCUACCUAUAAGACUGGGAUAACUUCGGGAAACCGGAGCUAAUACCGGAUAAUAUAUUGAACCGCAUGGUUCAAUAGUGAAAGACGGUUUUGCUGUCACUUAUAGAUGGAUCCGCGCCGCAUUAGCUAGUUGGUAAGGUGACGGCUUACCAAGGCAACGAUGCGUAGCCGACCUGAGAGGGUGAUCGGCCACACUGGAACUGAGACACGGUCCAGACUCCUACGGGAGGCAGCAGUAGGGAAUCUUCCGCAAUGGGCGAAAGCUUGACGGAGCAACGCCGCGUGAGUGAUGAAGGUCUUCGGAUCGUAAAACUCUGUUAUUAGGGAAGAACAAAUGUGUAAGUAACUAUGCACGUCUUGACGGUACCUAAUCAGAAAGCCACGGCUAACUACGUG